GAAAAUUAUGUUGAACCCAACGUGGAAUAGAUGUUGAAUUGACAUCUUCUCCCUGUGGUAGGGGACUUUUACUCCGAAACAGUCGAAUGCUGUAUGGCAGAACUGGGCUCCUGAGUGGCGUCACUACAGUCCCUGGUGGUAGGUCGUCAUUGACAAUAAGUAUUUGUUCUUAUUAACUGACUUGCCGAGUUAAAUAAAGAUAAAAUAAAUCAAGCCGACUGUCAACUCACCUCCAUCCAUCUCAAGUCACUUUGGUCCUCUGUUGAGAAGACUAAAUCAGCCAAUGUGUAAUAACCCCAACAACCUAGCUACUCCCCUUCCAGUCCUUCCAACCAAAAGUGUAUAGGGAAUAAGGUGCUAUAUGGGAUGCAUUCGAGGGUCUGUGACUGACACAACAGGUAUCUGGUGAUAUAGCGCGCAUCACAUAGGAAACACAGUCACAACAGGUGGACAGCUUUAGUGACUUCAUGGCCCAGAGAAAACAGGUGUCUGGUGAUAUAGCGCGCAUCACAUAGGAAACACAGUCACAACAGGUGGACAGCUUUAGUGACUUCAUGGCCCAGAGAAAACAGGUGUCUGGUGAUAUAGCGCGCAUCACAUAGGAAACACAGUCACAACAGGUGGACAGCUUUAGUGACUUCAUGGCCCAGAGAAAACAGGUGUCUGGUGAUAUAGCGCGCAUCACAUAGGAAACACAGUCACAACAGGUGGACAGCUUUAGUGACUUCAUGGCCCAGAGAAAACAGGUAUCUGGUGAUAUAGCGCGCAUCACAUAGGAAACACAGUCACAACAGGUGGACAGCUUUAGUGACUUCAUGGCCCAGAGAAAACAGGUAUCUGGUGAUAUAGCGCGCAUCACAUAGGAAACACAGUCACAACAGGCCUAUAAAACAACAAGCAUCUGUAACACCACCAUCAUCAUUACAACGCAGGUUGACGUUUGUUGUCGUGAAUCUUGCCUCGGAGGCAGAACUGAGCGAUUUCCACUAGACGGACCAGCUGCAAAGUCAAAAUUGCCUAUAUAUACACACAUAUAUAAAUAAUUUAAGGUUAGGCAUUAAGGUUUUCAAUGUGCUUAAGGUUAAGUUCGAAACUCAGAUGUUAUGACUUUGUGGCUGGUGACCAUUCUGCAGAGCUGCCUCCAGAACAACAUUCAUGC